GAUGAACGCUGGCGGCGUGCCUAAUACAUGCAAGUCGAGCGAACAGACGAGGAGCUUGCUCCUCUGACGUUAGCGGCGGACGGGUGAGUAACACGUGGAUAACCUACCUAUAAGACUUGGAUAACUUCGGGAAACCGGAGCUAAUACCGGAUAAUAUAUUUAACCGCAUGGUUCAAUAGUGAAAGACGGUUUUGCUGUCACUUAUAGAUGGAUCCGCGCCGCAUUAGCUAGUUGGUAAGGUAACGGCUUACCAAGGCAACGAUGCGUAGCCGACCUGAGAGGGUGAUCGGCCACACUGGAACUGAGACACGGUCCAGACUCCUACGGGAGGCAGCAGUAGGGAAUCUUCCGCAAAGGGCGAAAGCCUGACGGAGCAACGCCGCGUGAGUGAUGAAGGUCUUCGGAUCGUAAAACUCUGUUAUUAGGGAAGAACAAAUGUGUAAGUAACUAUGCACGUCUUGACGGUACCUAAUCAGAAAGCCACGGCUAACUACGUG
rnacentral:rRNA from 1 species